CGAGACUGCCAGUGAGGAGGGGGUGAACGGAGCCAGGGAAGCCUCAUGCGGCUCCUGCUUUACGCACAUCGAGGAUGAAUGCAAGUCUGCCAGUCUGGAAUGAAAGUGAUGGAAAAGAGCGCUGGGUCAUACCAACCUGCUUAACAGCCUACACAAGGACAGUGUGUCCUGCUGUGGAGAGAGGCGUUCCCGUGCCAUCCGAGGAUGGGUGGAAAGGCUGCUGGACUUUGGUUCGAAUGAUCCUAAAAAAUUCAAAUGAACACAAUGACUUGCCGUGAACACAUCCAGGGCACGCUGGAUUACUUUCUGGAAAUGUCUUAUGCGGGUCGGCCCAUGAUCUCUCUUCAGCUCAUUAAAAUGUAAUGCUGCUGGCCAGCUCUAUGGAACAGUGCCUCCUAACCAAAGUUCAUUACUCCUGCUUGCAGGCUAGAUGGUGUCUGAUGUCCUUCUAAAAUUUCUCUUGGGUCCAUCCUGCAAAACAAAAUAAUAGGAGCAAAAUCAACAUGGGUGAGGAGAUGUGUCAGCUGCAAAUGUUUGAAGGACGUAUGUAGUUUCUCUUUCACUCCGGUUGGAAAAGUGAAAUAAUUAAGACAGAUGGGCAGAUGAAUUAGUUGUCUUCCAAGGUCAAACGCUGAUUGUCUUAUUACUCUAUUACUUCACUGUUGGGAAACUGUUACCGUUGACACUUUUUCAUGAUAUUCUUUACAUCCACAAAAGAGAAGGCCUGAGUGAAAGAGUGAGAGAGAUACAAAUUGAUUGUUUGGCGGCCAAAUCAGUCAUAGUCAUCUUGGGUGGAAGGAUUAAUGGGUCUGAUGGCUGUUGCAGGUUCAGGCAGGAGACGGGUUGAAAACAAGAGAAAUUGGUUUGGGCCCUCGGGAGCCGAAUCAAUGUUUCCUCGUGUCAUCCUGAAAGGGGCCCAAGGAGGUUAGCAGCUGUGACAAAAAUCAAAAUCCAUUUUCUGUGGCCAAAUGUAAUGAGGACCAAAUGGUGGAUGUUCC